GUCUACUCUUUCACACGCACUUCACUCACUCCUCUUGUUCCAAAAUUGAAUCUUUGAAAAAACCCAGAACUCGGAUUAAUCAAAUGAGGCUUAGAAUCAUCAUCACCAUCGCCAUGAACUGAGGAAGUUUUAUGGUUCAAGCAAAAUGCCAAUGGAUUCUUUGCUUCUGGGCUCCUUUACCACUCCUUCUAUAUAUUAGCAAAAGGUAUUGGGACACACAAUUUUGGUUUCAAUACUUUGGACUAAUGCCAAGUUAGUUGAUUUGAGCAGCAAAGCUGCAAUAACAUCUUUUUACAUCUUCAUAUGGAAGGUAUUGGGACACAAUUUUGGCUUCAAUACUUUGGACUAAUGCUAAGUCACUUGAUUUGAGUAGCAAAGUUGCAAUAACGUCUUUUUACAUGUUCAUAUGGAAGGUAAGUAACUAUGGUGCCAAACUUACUUUGUUUAACACUUAUUCUUGGGCAUCCCCUAAGUUUUUGUGUCUUGACUCGAAUUGCAUUGAUUCAAAAUUCAAAUCUCUUGUUCCCAUUUUCUCAUCCCUUUUAUGUUGGAUCAUAGAAUAACAAUUAACUCAUUAAAGUGGUAAUUCUUUUUUAUUUACUUUCACAUGUGCAUUGAUUGUCACUUUAAAUGAGUUGGCUGCUAUUGAGUGGUGGGAUAUAGAGGAGACA